rnacentral:rRNA from 1 species
AACGAACGCUGGCGGCAGGCUUAACACAUGCAAGUCGAGCGCCCCGCAAGGGGAGCGGCAGACGGGUGAGUAACGCGUGGGAAUCUACCCAUCACUACGGAACAACUCCGGGAAACUGGAGCUAAUACCGUAUACGUCCUUCGGGAGAAAGAUUUAUCGGUGAUGAUGAGCCCGCGUUGGAUUAGCUAGUUGGUGGGGUAAUGGCCUACCAAGGCGACGAUCCAUAGCUGGUCUGAGAGGAUGAUCAGCCACAUUGGGACUGAGACACGGCCCAAACUCCUACGGGAGGCAGCAGUGGGGAAUAUUGGACAAUGGGCGAAAGCCUGAUCCAGCCAUGCCGCGUGAGUGAUGAAGGCCCUAGGGUUGUAAAGCUCUUUCACCGGUGAAGAUAAUGACGGUAACCGGAGAAGAAGCCCCGGCUAACUUCGUGCCAGCCGCCGCAGUAACAC